GACGUAGGUGGCGAACGUUAUCCGGAAUUACUGGGCGUAAAGGGCGCGUAGGCGGUUCGUUAAGUCCUGUGUGAAAUCCCCCGGCUCAACUGGGGAACUGCACAGGAAACUAGCGGGCUUGAGUUCGGGAGAGGGAAGCGGAAUUCCGGGUGUAGCGGUGAAAUGCGUAGAUAUCCGGAGGAACACCGGUGGCGAAGGCGGCUUCCUGGACCGACACUGACGCUGAGGCGCGAAAGCUAGGGGAGCAAACGGG
rnacentral:rRNA from 1 species